rnacentral:rRNA from 1 species
UACAGAGGUCUCAAGCGUUGUUCGGAUUCAUUGGGCGUAAAGGGUGCGUAGGUGGCGCGGUAAGUCGGGUGUGAAAUUUCGGAGCUUAACCUCGAAACUGCAUUCGAUACUGCCGGUGCUUGAGGACUGGAGAGGAGACUGGAAUUUACGGUGUAGCAGUGAAAUGCGUAGAGAUCGUAAGGAAGACCAGUGGCGAAGGCGGGUCUCUGGACAGUUCCUGACAGCUGAGGCGACGAAGGCCAGGGGAGCAAACGGG